UCAGUUGGUUAGAGCGCGCGCUUGAUAAGCGUGAGGUCGGAGGUUCAAGUCCUCCCAGGCCCACCAUUCCUCGACAAGGUAAGGUCGAAGAGGUGUUAUCAAGGGGCCGUAGCUCAGCUGGGAGAGCGCCUGCUUUGCAAGCAGGAUGUCGUCGGUUCGAUCCCGUCCGGCUCCACCAUCUCCGCGCAAUCCGCAGGAUUGUCGCCGCGCAAUCCGCAGGAUUGUCGCCGCGCAAUCCGCAGGAUUGUCGCUUCUUCUGAGGAAGAAAGGGUGUCGAGUGGAUGUGAAGCUGGCUGAGAAAAAGUCAUUCGUUCAAGAGUUUGCGGCGAGCCUUUGGCUCUCCGCCUGUUCUGUAUGACAUCGUAAAGAGAAGAUUUGUUCGAACUUCAUAGCCCGCAAGGGGUGUGAUUUGUCGCGGGAGACGCUCAAUCUCCCGCAUAUGAUGGGUUUGCCUAACCGCACCCUCGAACCGAUCUCGAGAAGCUGGUCUUUUUGUGCCAAU
rnacentral:misc_RNA from 1 species